GAACUGCGAUAAGUAAUGUGAAUUGCAGAAUUCAGUGAAUCAUCGAGUCUUUGAACGCACAUUGCGCCCCCUGGCAUUCCGGGGGGCAUGCCUGUCCGAGCGUCAUUGCUGCCCUUCAAGCCCGGCUUGUGUGUUGGGUCGUCGUCCCCUCCGGGGGACGGGCCCGAAAGGCAGCGGCGGCACCGCGUCCGGUCCUCGAGCGUAUGGGGCUCUGUCACCCGCUCGAUAAGGACCGGCCGGGCGCCAGCCGGCGUCUCCAACCUUUUUUUCUCAGGUUGACCUCGGAUCAGGUAGGGAUACCCGCUGAACUUAAGC
rnacentral:misc_RNA from 1 species